rnacentral:rRNA from 1 species
UACGUAGGGUGCAAGCGUUGUCCGGAAUUAUUGGGCGUAAAGAGCUCGUAGGCGGUCUGUCGCGUCUGCUGUGAAAACUCAGGGCUUAACCCUGAGCUUGCAGUGGGUACGGGCAGACUAGAGUGCGGUAGGGGAGACUGUAAUUCCUGGUGUAGCGGUGAAAUGCGCAGAUAUCAGGAGGAACACCGGUGGCGAAGGCGGGUCUCUGGGCCGUAACUGACGCUGAGGAGCGAAAGCAUGGGGAGCGAACAGG